ensembl:ncRNA R13H4.12 ncRNA
GGAGAAAAAGGCCCCUCACUCUCAUUCUGGUAUGAUAUGUUGUGAGAUGAAAAUGAGAAUAUAUGGAAAUGGAAUUUGGAAGUACUUUCUUCUAUUCACCAGAACGAUGUUUGAA